AUGAACGCUGACAGAAUGCUUAACACCUGCAAGUCGAUGGGGAAGUGGUGCUUGCACCCUGGUAACCAUGGCGGACGGGUGAGUAACGCGUAAGGAACUUACCUGCGGGACCGGGAUAACAGCAGGAAACUGCUGACAAGACCGGAUAAGGCCAUUAAGCUGCAUAGCUUAGUGAUGAAAGGAGACGCCUGCGGAGAGCCUUGCGUCCUAUUAGCUAGUUGGAGGGGUAACGGCCCACCAAGGCGACGAUAGGUAGCCGGCCUGAGAGGGUGGACGGCCACAAGGGGACUGGGAUACGGCACUGACGCCUACUGGAGGCAGCAGGGGGGAAUAAUGGAGAAAGGGGGCAACCCUGAUGCAGGAAUUCUGUGUGCACGAAGACGGUUGUCGGAUUGUAAAGUACUUACAGCAGGGAAGAAUGAAGUGACGGUACCUGCAGAAGAAGCGACGGCUAAAUACGUG
rnacentral:rRNA from 1 species